UAUACUGUGAAACUGCGAAUGGCUCAUUAAAUCAGUUAUCGUUUAUUUGAUAGUACCUUACUACUUGGAUAACCGUGGUAAUUCUAGAGCUAAUACAUGCUAAAAACCUCGACUUCGGAAGGGGUGUAUUUAUUAGAUAAAAAACCAAUGCCCUUCGGGGCUCCCUGGUGAUUCAUAAUAACUUAACGAAUCGCAUGGCCUUGUGCCGGCGAUGGUUCAUUCAAAUUUCUGCCCUAUCAACUUUCGAUGGUAGGAUAGUGGCCUACCAUGGUUUCAACGGGUAACGGGGUAUUAGGGUACUAUACCGGAGAGGGAGCCUGAGAAACGGCUACCACAUCCAAGGAAGGCAGCAGGCGCGCAAAUUACCCAAUCCCGACACGGGGAGGUAGUGACAAUAAAUACUGAUACAGGGCUCUUUUGGGUCUUGUAAUUGGAAUGAGUACAAUUUAAAUCCCUUAACGAGGAACAAUUGGAGGGCAAGUCUGGUGCCAGCAGCCGCGGUAAUUCCAGCUCCAAUAGCGUAUAUUAAAGUUGUUGCAGUUAAAAAGUUCGUAGUUGAACCUUGGGCCUGGCUGCCCGGUCCGCCUCACCGCGUGCACUGGUCCGGCCGGGCCUUUCCUUCUGGGGAUCCCCAUGCCCUUCACUGGGUGUGCGGGGGAACCAGGACUUUUACUUUGAAAAAAUUAGAGUGUUCAAAGCAGGCCUAUGCUCGAAUACAUUAGCAUGGAAUAAUAGAAUAGGACGUGUGGUUCUAUUUUGUUGGUUUCUAGGACCGCCGUAAUGAUUAAUAGGGAUAGUUGGGGCCAUCAGUAUUGCUGUGUCAGAGGUGAAAUUCUUGGAUUUCAGCAAGACUAACUACUGCGAAAGCAUUUGGCAAAGAUGUUUUCAUUAAUCAGUGAACGAAAGUUAGGGGAUCGAAGACGAUCAGAUACCGUCGUAGUCUUAACCAUAAACUAUGCCGACUAGGGAUCGGGCGAUGUUAUCUUUUUGACUCGCUCGGCACCUCACGAGAAAUCAAAGUCUUUGGGUUCU
rnacentral:rRNA from 1 species